GAUGAACGCUGGCGGCGUGCCUAAUACAUGCAAGUCGAGCGAACAGACGAGGAGCUUGCUCCUCUGACGUUAGCGGCGGACGGGUGAGUAACACGUGGAUAACCUACCUCUAAGACUGGGAUAACUUCGGGAAACCGGUGCUAAUACCGGAUAAUAUAUUGAACCGCAUGGUUCAAUAGUGAAAGACGGUUUUGCUGUCACUUAUAGAUGGAUCCGCGUCGCAUUAGCUAGUUGGUAAGGUAACGGCUUACCAAGGCAACGAUGCGUAGCCGACCUGAGAGGGUGAUCGGCCACACUGGAACUGAGACACGGUCCAGACUCCUACGGGAGGCAGCAGUAGGGAAUCUUCCGCAAUGGGCGAAAGCCUGACGGAGCAACGCCGCGUGAGUGAUGAAGGCCUUCGGAUCGUAAAACUCUGUUAUUAGGGAAGAACAAAUGUGUAAGUAACUAUGCACGUCUUGACGGUACCUAAUCAGAAAGCCACGGCUAACUACGUG
rnacentral:rRNA from 1 species